rnacentral:rRNA from 1 species
GACGAACGCUGGCGGCGUGCUUAACACAUGCAAGUCGAACGCUGAAGCUUGGUGCUUGCACUGGGUGGAUGAGUGGCGAACGGGUGAGUAAUACGUGAGUAACCUGCCCUUGACUCUGGGAUAAGCCUGGGAAACUGGGUCUAAUACUGGAUACGACGGCGCAUCGCAUGGUGUGUUGUGGAAAGGGUUUUACUGGUUUUGGAUGGGCUCACGGCCUAUCAGCUUGUUGGUGGGGUAAUGGCUCACCAAGGCGACGACGGGUAGCCGGCCUGAGAGGGUGACCGGCCACACUGGGACUGAGACACGGCCCAGACUCCUACGGGAGGCAGCAGUGGGGAAUAUUGCACAAUGGGCGGAAGCCUGAUGCAGCGACGCCGCGUGAGGGAUGACGGCCUUCGGGUUGUAAACCUCUUUCAGCACGGAAGAAGCGAGAGUGACGGUACGUGCAGAAGAAGCGCCGGCUAACUACGUGCCAGCCGCCGCCGUAAGAC